rnacentral:lncRNA from 1 species
AAAACUUAAAAUUAAAAAAAAAACAUGAGUGGAGUGCAUCCUCGAGGGUUUAGAGAGAGAGAGGCUGCUCAUUCUCUCUAGAAUUUCCCCCCUCACCAUCUGCCAUCACCUCCUCCUCCACUUACUCAUCCGACACCUCCACCACAGAACUCUCUUUAUUGUAACUUUUUCAUCUACCACAACAACUGCCCUAACAAACUCCACCACCACCACCAUAAAUACACCGCCCAUGCCUCUUUUUCUUCCUCAAUCGCUAACGACACUACUUCCGAACGAUACUCCCCCAAAACCCUAAACUUCACCACGAUUCUAUUUAUAGUUCUAGUAGCUUCACCCGUCAUUUCAAUACUCGAGCCGAGUCUAACAAUGGCCCCGAGCCUCGCCAGUAUGAUUUUGACCUCUUCACAAUCGGCGCUGGCAGCGGCGGUGUUAGGGCUGAUGGAAAUAAUCAACUACGAGUUUGACCUCUUCACAAUCGACGCUGGCAGCGGCGGUGUUAGGGCUGAUGGAAAUAAUCAACUACGAGUUUGGUGUCUGGGGCAUCAGUCAUCUCUACUCUGGACCUGUUUAGAGUCGCUUAAAGG